rnacentral:rRNA from 1 species
AGAGUUUGAUCAUGGCUCAGAAUCAACGCUGGCGGCGUGCCUAACACAUGCAAGUCGAACGCGAAAGCCCUUUCGGGGGUAAGUAGAGUGGCGUCCGGGUGAGUAACACGUGGGUAAUCUGCCUUCGGGUGGGGAAUAACUCAGGGAAACUUGAGCUAAUACCGCAUAAUGCAGCGGCACCUAAUGGUGAUUAGUUGUUAAAGCGGGGGAUCGCAAGACCUCGCGCCUGAAGAGGAGCCUGCGGCAGAUUAGCUAGUUGGUGAGGUAAUGGCUCACCAAGGCUGCGAUCUGUAGCUGGUCUGAGAGGACGGCCAGCCACACUGGCACUGACACACGGGCCAGACUCCUACGGGAGGCAGCAGUGGGGAAUUUUGGGCAAUGGGCGAAAGCCUGACCCAGCAACGCCGCGUGAGGGAGGAAAUCCUUCGGGAUGUAAACCUCACAAGCAAGGGAAGAGAGCUACGGGCUGAAUAAUCCCGUAGUGCGACGGUACCUUGCGUAAGCCACGGCUAACUACGUGCCAGCAGCCGCGGUAAUAC